rnacentral:rRNA from 1 species
UACGAAGGGGGCUAGCGUUGUUCGGAUUCAUUGGGCGUAAAGAGCUCGUAGGCGGCCGCUCAAGUCGAAUGUGAAAACUCGAGGCUCAACCUCGAGCCUGCAUUCGAUACUGGGUGGCUAGAGUCUGGUAGGGGGAUCUGGAAUUCCUGGUGUAGCGGUGGAAUGCGCAGAUAUCAGGAGGAACACCGGUGGCGAAGGCGGGAUCCUGGGCCAGUACUGACGCUGAGGAGCGAAAGCGUGGGGAGCAAACAGG